rnacentral:rRNA from 1 species
GAUGAACGCUGGCGGCGUGCCUAAUACAUGCAAGUCGAGCGAACAGAUAAGGAGCUUGCUCCUUUGACGUUAGCGGCGGACGGGUGAGUAACACGUGGAUAACCUACCUAUAAGACUGGGAUAACUUCGGGAAACCGGAGCUAAUACCGGAUAACAUAUUGAACCGCAUGGUUCAAUAGUGAAAGGCGGCUUUGCUGUCACUUAUAGAUGGAUCCGCGCCGCAUUAGCUAGUUGGUAAGGUAACGGCUUACCAAGGCAACGAUACGUAGCCGACCUGAGAGGGUGAUCGGCCACACUGAAACUGAGACACGGUCCAGACUCCUACGGGAGGCAGCAGUAGGGAAUCUUCCGCAAUGGGCGAAAGCCUGACGAAGCAACGCCGCGUGGGUGAUGAAGGUCUACGGAUCGUAAAACUCUGUUAUCAGGGAAGAAAAAAUGUGUAAGUAACUGUGCACAUCUUGACGGGACCUGAUCAGAAGACCACGGCAAACUACGU